ACUCCUACGGGAGGCAGCAGUGGGGAAUAUUGCACAAUGGGGGAAACCCUGAUGCAGCCAUGCCGCGUGUGUGAAGAAGGCCUUCGGGUUGUAAAGCACUUUCAGUAGGGAGGAAGGUAGUGUAGUUAACACCUGCAUUAUUUGACGUUACCUACAGAAGAAGCACCGGCUAACUCCGUGCCAGCAGCCGCGGUAAUACGGAGGGUGCGAGCGUUAAUCGGAAUUACUGGGCGUAAAGCGCAUGCAGGCGGCCUGUUAAGUCAGAUGUGAAAGCCCGGGGCUUAACCUCGGAAUUGCAUUUGAAACUGGCAGGCUAGAGUCUUGGUAGAGGGGGGUAGAAUUUCAGGUGUAGCGGUGAAAUGCGUAGAGAUCUGAAGGAAUACCAGUGGCGAAGGCGGCCCCCUGGACAAAGACUGACGCUCAGAUGCGAAAGCGUGGGGAGCAAACAGGAUUAGAUACCCUGGUAGCACAGAG
rnacentral:rRNA from 1 species